rnacentral:rRNA from 1 species
UACGUAGGGGGGCAAGCGUUGUCCGGAUUUAUUGGGCGUAAAGAGCGUGUAGGCGGCUAGAUAGGUCCGUUGUGAAAACUGGAGGCUACAACCUCCAGCUGUCGAUGGAAACCAUCUGGCUAGAGUCCGGAAGAGGAGAGUGGAAUUCCUGGUGUAGCGGUGAAAUGCGCAGAUAUCAGGAAGAACACCCGUGGCGAAGGCGGCUCUCUGGGACGUGACUGACGCUGAGACGCGAAAGCGUGGGGAGCGAACAGG